UCUUCAUUUCACACACUCUCUCAUCCGGACGAGUGGUGAGAAAGUGUGUGAAAUGAAGAGA
rfam:Pristionchus pacificus strain PS312 contig3500, whole genome shotgun sequence.